UACGUAGGGGGCUAGCGUUGUCCGGAUUUAUUGGGCGUAAAGAGCGUGUAGGCGGCCCGGUAAGUCCGCUGUAAAAGUCAAAGGCUCAACCUUUGAAUGUCAGUGGAUACUGCCGGGCUAGAGUCCGGAAGAGGCGAGUGGAACUCCUGGUGUAGCGGUGGAAUGCGCAGAUAUCAGGAAGAACACCAAUGGCGAAGGCAGCUCGCUGGGACGGUACUGACGCUGAGACGCGAAAGCGUGGGGAGCAAACAGG
rnacentral:rRNA from 1 species